rnacentral:misc_RNA from 1 species
UUUCCGUAGCCUAUUGAAGCCUGACACGGCGACUUGACAAACAAUCGUGGAGUCUACACUGAACAAGAUUCAAGUGGGCGAUGCCAAAGAAGUGCUGGGAAUCUUUAACAGGAACGCCAGCAGCCAUCCGGGCCCGUUCAUCCGGGCUGAUGGUUCACAGAUCAAGUAGUGGCAGUCAUGAGUCGAGUAGUCACCGAACUGCUUAAACUUUGUGAUGAAGAUAUGACCGGUCAGUGGCUGAACAAGCCAGCUGAGAAACGUUCCGUAGGUGAACCUGCGGAAGGAUAAUUAAAGAGUAAGGGUCUCCGGGCCCGAUCUCCAACCCUUUGUUUAAUUACCAUGUUGCUCUGGCGGGCCCGUCUCACGACCGCCGGAAGUUUGGUCUCAACCAAACUUCUGGCCCGUGCCCGUCAGUGGCCCCUUCAAAUUCUUGAUUAAAUAUGAUGUCUUAGUUAUAAACUUAAUAGUUAAAACUUUCAACAACGGAUCUCUUGGUUCUG